AACAUUACAAACAUUUAUUUUUAUUUGAUAAUGUAAUUAUACAUAAAAACGUUUGAAAAAAUUGUAUUACAAACAUUUCAAUUCUUGAGAAAACUAUGACACCAACUACAGAAGCCAAAUUCUUUUUUUUUUUUUUUCAAUACAAGUCACGAUGACUACUGUGCAAAUGAAGACAUCGUCAAACUCAAAUGAAAAUAUAUGUCUCAAAUAAAAAGAAUGAGAUGAGUUUAGGCUGUUUUAGCAAUAAAGGUAAAACAAGAUUAGACAUAAGGUAAGGUCGUUGUUUUGACCCACAUGCUUGUUGAUUUGUUACUAUGUCAACUUAA
rnacentral:lncRNA from 1 species